rnacentral:rRNA from 1 species
AGCGGUCAAGUCGAGCGUGUCAACCAGAUUCUUGAAGAUAUGCUCAGGGCUUGUGUGAUCUCCUUCGGCAUGAAGUGGGAGGAUUGUCUUCCUUAUGCUGAAUUCUCCUACAACAACAGUUUUCAAGCAAGUUCGGGCAAGGCCCCUUUUGAAAUUCUGUAUGGCAGGAAGUGCCGUACCCCUCUCAACUGGUCUGAAACCGGUGAACGUCAGCUUUUGGGUAAUGACUUAAUCACAGAGGCAGAAGAAAUGUGCAAAGUCAUUCGUGAUAACCUCAAAGCAGCCCAAUCCCGUCAGAAGAGCUACUAUGAUAGUAAGCACCGUGAUUUGGCUUUCGAGAUCGGAGAUCAUGUUUACCUCCGUGUCUCUCCUAUGAAAGGUACUCGUUGC